rnacentral:rRNA from 1 species
UACAGAGGGGGCAAGCGCUGUUCGGAAUUACUGGGCGUAAAGGGCGCGUAGGCGGCCUGUUAAGUCGAACGUGAAAUCCCCGGGCUCAACCCGGGAACUGCGUCCGAUACUGGCUGGCUUGAAUCCGGGAGAGGGAUGCGGAAUUCCAGGUGUAGCGGUGAAAUGCGUAGAUAUCUGGAGGAACACCGGUGGCGAAGGCGGCAUCCUGGACCGGCAUUGACGCUGAGGCGCGAAAGCCAGGGGAGCAAACGGG